AACUCACAUCAUAUAAAAUAAGGAUUAUUUACUCAAAUGGUCCUUAAACUUAUACCCGAGUUGCAUUUUGGUAUCUCAACUAAAUUAUUUGUUCAAAUAGUCUACCAACUCUUUAUUGAUUGACGAAUUAGUCCUACUGUUACAUUUUUUGUUAAAUUUAGUCACGUGAGCAGCACAUACUAUAUUUAUGAGAGUAAAUAAGACUUUUGACAACUAAAAAAAAUACUAUUAAAAAUUAACACAAGAUUUUCUUUAUUUUUAAAAUGAAUUUAAAACUAUAAAAAAAUAAAACAACAACAAAAAGUAACCAACAAAAAGAAAAAUAAAAAAAAACCCACCAAAUCUCUAUCUCCCAACCUCUUUCUCUUUAUGUCCUUCUCUUCCUCGCUCUUCACUCUGCCUUUAGUUUCCUAAAUAGAGAAUUUCCAAUCAACAUCUCCAUCAAAACCGUCGCCGGGAAAACCACCAUAGCCAGUCGACCCGAUGAAAUCUUGAAAUUGUGGGUCUACAACAGCCUCUUAGUCCUCUUUGCAGAUCUUUGAGUGGGUGGGUAGUUUC
rnacentral:lncRNA from 1 species